UACGGAGGGUGCAAGCGUUAUCCGGAUUUACUGGGUUUAAAGGGUGCGUAGGUGGGUUGGUAAGUCAGUGGUGAAAUACUUUCGCUUAACGAAGGAACUGCCAUUGAUACUAUCAAUCUUGAAUGUAGUGGAGGUAGGCGGAAUGCGUCAUGUAGCGGUGAAAUGCUUAGAUAUGACGCAGAACACCAAUGGCGAAGGCAGCCUUCUGGGCCAACACUGACGCUCAUGCACGAAAGCGUGGGGAGCAAACAGG
rnacentral:rRNA from 1 species